rnacentral:rRNA from 1 species
CGCAAGCCUGACGGAGCAACGCCGCGUGAGGGACGAAGGCCUCUGGGCUGUAAACCUCUUUUCUCAAGGAAGAAGACAUGACGGUACUUGAGGAAUAAGCCACGGCUAAUUCCGUGCCAGCAGCCGCGGUAAUACGGGAGUGGCAAGCGUUAUCCGGAAUUAUUGGGCGUAAAGCGUCCGCAGGCGGCCCAGCAAGUCUGUUGUUAAAAAGUGGAGCUUAACUCCAUCCAGGCAAUGGAAACUGCUGGGCUAGAGUGUGGUAGGGGCAGAGGGAAUUCCCGGUGUAGCGGUGAAAUGCGUAGAUAUCGGGAAGAACACCAGUGGCGAAGGCGCUCUGCUGGGCCAUAACUGACGCUCAUGGACGAAAGCCAGGGGAGCGAAAGGGAUUAGAUACCCCUGUAGUCCUGGCCGUAAACGAUGAACACUAGGUGUCGGGGGAAUCGACCCCCUCGGUGUCGUAGCCAACGCGUUAAGUGUUCCGCCUGGGGAGUACGCACGCAAGUGUGAAACUCAAAGGAAUUGACGGGGGCCCGCACAAGCGGUGGAGUAUGUGGUUUAAUUCGAUGCAACGCGAAGAACCUUACCAGGGUUUGACAUCCUGCGAAUCCCUUGGAAACUUGGGAGUGCCUUCGGGAGCGCAGUGACAGGUG